CAAACGUCUACAGUUUAAACAUACGAGCUACUACACGCUACAUCUUUUUUACCUGACUUCCAUCAUUGGGUAGACGUAUCUGGUUUCUUCUUUCCAAACCCAAAGAUGUGCGGUUAUAUUUCCUCCUCGUAGUGUCAGACAACUACAAGUUCAGUAAGAGGUUUUACACUUAUCUACGACGUGUGCGACGUUGUUUUGGUAACCGUAUACAUUCUACUAUUCCGAAACGGUAGCCUUGAAGUUUUAUAGAAGUGAAGGUGAAUACAACCACCUCCUUGUCACUUCGGAGGCUUCGAUAUAUUUGUUGGACUACAAGUUGAAAGAUGUUCGUCUCUCUACCUGGUCAACCUAUACGUAAAACACGAACGGAGGGUGUCGGGGACGAAUCGGAGAAAAGGGUAGUAAGUUGUGAACAUUUACCUCAUACGAUUAAAUGCUGCGGUUCGUCGUAGGAACUUUUCCUCGGAGAAACUAGUCCCCAUAAACCUACUCGUUAAAACGGUCCAACUCCUGAACGUCCUACUUCGUUCGGGGUUAAAACGUCUUCUUCACCAGAGGAACAAGAAGUUCCUGAGUCGCUCCGAUCACUGUUUGUAACUCGUUCGAUACCUCUUCAUAGGGUUUCUAAAGUUAUCUACCCUACGUGUGUACGUCGUCGAAUCUCCGUCGACAAAAUCGUAGCCGCGAAGAUUCUACUUGUUACUCACGUGUAGAAAGUCCUUGUCGACACCUCUUCUUUUACGACUUCCAACGUCCUCUUGAAAGGUCUUUCACUUCUCCCUCGUACGAUAAGACUCCGUCUUCGACCUCAGGAUGAAGGUCGACGACGCUGUUCGGCCAGGACGGUCCUGGCGCUGGUCCGGACCUUCGUACAUUCCGCGACCGGCGACCGCGAAAUGUCCCUCCACUUGGUGAUAUAGAGAUAUGCCCUAGCAACGUCUCUUUCUUCUGGGUCCUCGUCCUCUGUACGGACCAUGACGGUACCCACGAUCGAUCAAAUAAUUACGGACUUUCUAAUAUUACUAGUAUUUUUUCAUAGUAUGACAUGAUAUUAGUAUUCCCGCGGUACAACCACAGGACAACCUAUUAUCAGACUAUAUCAGCACAGUACAGUACAGGCGCGAAUACAUGCUAUUUAUUGUGCUUGGCUC
rnacentral:rRNA from 1 species